rnacentral:lncRNA from 1 species
GUCCUACAAUGUUUUAGCACAGUAAUCUAAGUUGUCUCUGUAGUAUAAAAAACAGAGCAGAGUGUUUUUGGGGUUCCUCAGUUGCAGUGAGAUGUGAGGCACUUGCAGAGACUCAGUCCACCACCCUGGGCAGCUUUCACCACCCUGGGCAGCUUUUCCGAGACGUAGGGACUGGCUUGCCGUAAUUCAUAGCUUCUGCUGUCCCUUGCUACAUACCUGAUUUUCUGUUUACUUUUGCUCAGAAGCUUGACAAAAAUGUCCUUAGCCUCAUUUCUCUGGCUGCCCCAGCUCCCUGAUUUAGGUGACCUCAUUCAAAUCUGCCUCUGGCUGAGUUCAAUCCUCAGAACCCAUUUCUGGCUGCCCUUUUCAGGCUGUGUCAUACCCAGCCCCAUAAGCUGGAGUGCGGUGGCAUGAUCUCGGCUCACUGCAAACUCUGCCUCCCCAGUUCAAAUGAUUCUUCUGCCUUCUGCCUCAGCCUCCCAAAUAGCUGGAACUACAGCAAGGCCAACUUUUCUACCAGAUAACCCUGACCUCAUCCUGUCAGAAUUGAAUGGACCAAGAAUUGAGCUACCCUAAAAGGCCAGUUUUCUGGAAAUAGUUUGAAGAUACCGACUCAUGGUUAAAUGUUUCACAUUUACCCUCAGAAAUGAGUGCUACUGUUCAGAAACGGAGGUGCCCACUUUGCUUGUGGGAUUUAGGAGGAAAUGCCACACACUGUCAUAGAAAAAAUGGCGUCUCACUCUAUUGCCCAGGCUAGAGUACAAUAGUGCAAUCUUGGCUCACUGCAACCUCCCCCUCCCAGGUUCAAGCCAUUCUCCUGCCUCAGCCUCCCGAGUAGCUAGAACUACAAGCACGUGCACUGUACCCAGCUAAUUUUUUGUAUUUUUAGCAGAGACGGGGUUUCUCCAUGUUGGCCAGGCUGGUCUCGAACUCCUGACCUCAGGUAAUCCACCGCCUCAUCCUCCCAAAAUGCAUUAUCUCUUCCCAAAAUGCAUUAUCUAUUUCAUUAAGAAAAAGGAGAAAGCAACCAUGCUAAGCUUCAAAUAAAAGCAUGUGAGCACACCUGAUGACGCUAGACCCACUGGAAUCUCGCAUAACUCAUCCUGAACGUGUUGGGAAUCAAGUCUCUCAGGAUUAGCCCUGGUAAUCUGAAAGUCACCAGUCAUCAAGAAGUGGCAUCUCUACCAUGUGGUGCAAUCAUAGCCCUGAACUCAAAUUUCUGUCUGAUAUAUUUGAUGUGAUCCCUCCUUUUAUACCCUUUUAACUUCUGCUUGGAGAGACCCACUGACCUUGUAGCUGACUGUCAGAACUUUUCCUUGCCAGGCCAGCAAUAAAUUUGGCAUUGUUUUGGACAUUGA